CCAUAUCUUGUUGAGACACCAGUUCCUGUAUGAUCACCGAAGUUAAGCAACGUUGAAUCUGAUCAGUAACUACAUGGAUGACCGCUUGGGAAUACCAGGUGCUGUAAG